rnacentral:lncRNA from 10 species
CAGCGAGACUCCGUGGGCGUAGGACCCUCCGAGCCAGGUGUGGCAUAUAGUCUCGUGGUGCGCCGUUUUUUAAGCCGGCCUGAAAAGCGCAAUAUUCGGGUGGGAGUGACCCGAUUUCCAGGUGCGUCCGUCACCCCUUUCUUUGACUCGGAAAGGGAACUCCCUGACCCCUUGCGCUUCCCAGGUGAGGCAAUGCCUCGCCCUGCUUCGGCUCG